UACAGAGGUCUCAAGCGUUGUUCGGAUUCAUUGGGCGUAAAGGGUGCGUAGGCGGCGGGGUAAGUCGGAUGUGAAAUCUCAGGGCUCAACCCUGAAACUGCAUUCGAUACUGCUCUGCUCGAGGACUCGAGAGGAGAUUGGAAUUCACGGUGUAGCAGUGAAAUGCGUAGAUAUCGUGAGGAAGACCAGUGGCGAAGGCGGAUCUCUGGAGAGUUCCUGACGCUGAGGCACGAAGGCCAGGGGAGCAAACGG
rnacentral:rRNA from 1 species